CGCGUCAGAAUGUGAACUGCAGAACACAUGAACACCGACAAGUUGAACGCAUAUUGCACAUCGUACAACAGUACGAUGUACACAUUUUUGAGUGCCUAUAUUUACCCAUUUAACUAUACGUGUUGUGCGUGUGCUUGCGCGCGCACCUCGUAUGCGGAGUGACGUUUUCCCGCCUUCAGUGUGCGAUAAAACGUUCAAGAUAGUCAAACACAGGACAACACACACCGUGUCGUCCCGUGGUURAUGAGUACACCCCACUUGCUGGACCUGGUUCCACUUGCGUUGUGCUUCAUCAUCAACACAUUGACCGAACAACUCACUCAUGUAGGCCUCAAAUAAUGUGUGAC
rnacentral:rRNA from 1 species